rnacentral:lncRNA from 1 species
UGAAAGCCUCAUUUUAAGGCACUUAAAGCUUUUUUUUUUCUUCCAGAAGAACAAAGUACAGCAGUGGUCUCAGGAAGAAGAGCCCACGUUCGAAGUUUGUAAAGCGACAGAACAAAGUUUGUUAUGAUGGAGGUCGUUGGAACAGGACAAAUGGGCUGAUCCCUGGCUGAUGGUGGGCCGGGACAGCCCCGAGGCAACGCCCCUGCUUGGCAUGAACAAGUGCUGGGUCAGCCCAGCGUGGACAAUGGGAAAAAUCAAGGUUCACAGGUAGGGAAGAAAACAAAACCAAACUGAUGGCCAUUACUGUGGCUCAUCAAUGUGAAAGAAGAUAUUGACAAGUAUGCAUGAGGUACAAGGAGUAAUAUCACAAACGCCCAGGACCAGCCCUCCCGCUUGAGCCCUGGAACCGGACCACAGCUGCUGGAGCCCGUGCUGUCUGCUCUUCCCUGACAUCAUCCCCCUUCUCCACGAGGUUCCCAUAUCCUAAUGCUGUGUUCGUUAUCACUUAAUUCCUUUAUAAUGUUCCCUUGUAGCUAUGUAUCCUUGAACCAUGCAUUGCCUAGUCUUGCACAUUUUUGAAGUCUCCAUAAGAGGUAUAACAUUCUCGGCAGUCCCCUUUUCUGUUAAGUUUACGUUUGGGAUGCAUCCGUGGGUGUCGAUGCAUGUAGCUCUGUGUUAUUCAUUUUCACCGAGACGUAGAAUUCCAUUGCGUGAGUACACCGUGACCUGCUUACCCACAAGAGGAUAUUAUUUUCUCUUUUUUUAUUGCUCACAUUAUUUUAAUAUUACCUGUACAUACAUAACAAUUGUUAUGUGUUAUUAUUCAUAAGUUGUAAACAGUCUCUGAUUAUGGGAUCCAAUACAUAAAAGAUUGAACUGUGAAUUGGGUAAUUUUCUACAUAGAUUCUUUGUGAAGCAGAGAUUCGAGAGCCGGUUAUUGCCAGGCUCCUCCUUCGGCCCAUUAGGCCUCGCUCCCUUUGAAAAUAGUAACUUUGUUUCUCAAAUAAUAUUUCCUCCCAACUGUGACACCAGCUAGAUGUCAACGCCUCAGUGAUAUCGUCAUGUCCUUUGACAUAAAAACAUCAAUUUAUGUCAAACAUAAUUUAACCUAAAGCCGAAUUUCCUUUAUUAGAAUGAUAAUGUCACUUAUUGUACAUCUUUUCUUUUACCUUCCUUGAUUUUAGUUGUUAAAACAACACCCCACUUCACGUGCUCAUUUGUGAAGUGGCAGUGCCGUUACUAACGCGGGUCUGUUCUGAGGAGCGACCUGUGAAGAUGGUUUCAAAGCACUUUGUGAUGAAGAGAAUGUUCUAUAAGUGGGUACUGAAAAUAAUCAAGACAUUCAUGGAUCCAAACAGGCCACAGAAACACCAUAGCAACAAAUGAACAAUAAUUGCUGCCUUACAGGCUAUUUCCUCAGCGACGCUCUCAUUCAAUCAGCACUCACGCCGUGUGCUCAGGAGGAGCGCAGGUCAGGUCUGGCUGCCACCAUCCAUGAAGAGGGUGUGCAGAACCAGACCAGGGUGGGGGCAAGAGGAAAGGUGGGUUUGUUCCCUCAUUUCCUUCCUCUCAGCUUCCUGCCCACUUAUUCCCUGACAUCUCCUCAGCACCGACAGAGAUGUGGUAGGUCUGGGCAUCCCGCACCCCAAGCCACUUAAUCCAAGUCACCUAAUAAGAUGUGCUGUGAAGAAACUAUCUCUUGCCCCAAAGUUCUUACCUUGAUGGACAUACAGCUAAGUCAAUGUAACGGAUGAGGCUGUGAGAGGAUAGUGAUGACAUGAUCCAUCUCUCUCUAAGACCACCAUCAAUAACGCAGCAAUGAGGGCCAUGGCUCCCUCAGCCUUGGGAAGUCUGCAAAAGCUAAUACAAAAUGUGCCAUUUCCAAGUUAUUUUUGGAAACAGACACAAGGUAGAUGUUACCCCCGCCCUGCUUCCCUAAGGCACAGAGGCUGGAAAGGAUUCACAGGCUCUGUUGGAUUCACCAUAAUUGGAAACCAAACCCUCAAUAAUAACCCCAGGAAUCCCCAGGAAGAUGCCAACAUGAGAAGGAAGGAUUCCGUUUUCGAGAGAAGGCCCUUGGCCUUACCCAUCUUGAUGACGUGUCGGCUGGCUGGAGAUGCCCAAGUUAGCGACCUCCUUAACACUGUCCAAAUAUUAGAAAGAUGCGUGCCCGCCUAUUGAGUCUGCUAGCUGGCAAUCCUAAUUUUGAUGAAGGCUCUGCAUGGGCGUGGAUGACACCAUGAUCCAGUGAAUCAAGUCCCCCAGGAAACCUGAAGCCGUCAACCAGACAGUGCUAAGGCGAAAGAGAUUCGCGUGGAGGGCAGCAUCUUGGUGGAGCCUAUUUAUAGGCAUAUACAUGAAGAAGAGGUCAAGGAAAUCUUUUUUGGUCAACUCGCCAAAGCUUUCAGUUACAUCUAGUUAUGAUGGGGCAUUUAAGUCCGUUACAUUCUGGGAAAACAAUUCGACUGACCACAGACCACCAAGUAGCUUUUGGAACUACCCUAGAGAGAAUUUCCCGCUUUAGGAUGUUAGAGGACUCCAAGAGAACAGAGGCUGUAACUAAUCUGACCCUUAUCAGGAAGAAAUAGUGGGAGAUUUAAAGACGAACCACUUGGAGGAGGAUGGUUUGGAGGAAUCAGUCAUGAAAUAACCAGAUGCAAUAUUUAAAGGGAAGGAAAAAAAGAGAAAUCGAAAAAAUAAAGAAAAGAGAUGGUCUAUGAGUUGAUAAUUGUCAAAGCUGGGUGGGUAUAUGUGGGAGUCCAUUAUACCAUUCUCUCUUUUUUUGGUAUAUAUUUAGGAUUUCCAAAAGCAGAAAUUUUAGAACCUGCCAUGAAAACAAACAAACCGAAAAUAAGACGACAAUAAGAGAAAGCUGAUGAACCAAGAGUUACCACCAUGCACAUAGUAUUUAAAAAUGUGCAGUCGAUGGUCAAUGCCAAAGAAACAGCUAAAAUGGGGAGAGGGAUACACAGUUGGAUCAGGGUCCUGAUGGUUUAUAUUAUCAGUCCAUUUGAUGUUUUCCUUUAUAAAAAUAAAAAGACAAAAAUAAAAAGUAGAGAAAUUCUGAGUGGAAGAUUAUUUUCAACCUAUAUUUUUACAUCCAUCCAAACCAUAAAAUAUGAGGGUUAAAUAAAAACAUUUUUAGGU